CACAUGGAGGCUAUAAAAUGGGUAAAGUGUGGCAGGUGGCAGCAGGUAGCAGAGGCCCAAGAAGCCUUUUUGAAGGAGAUGACAUGGGAGCUGGGACUGGCAGGAAGAGGAAGCCAUUAUUUAAAGAACAAAGCAAAAGCGGCCGGGUGAAGGUGCAUGUGGGAGGCUGGCAGCAGGGUUUCCUGCAGGCGAAAAGGAAACUUCCCUAAGACAGAAGAGGGAAUCCACCAUUUGGCCCCGGAUGGAUGGUCUCAGCCACAGGACAGGAACAAGGACAGGAAUCUGCUCACAGGUCCCCGCCCAGCUGCUCUCUGACCGGCCACAGUAUUCAGGCCAAGACACUCAGCUGUGACUGCGAAUGCUACUUGUCUGACCUAAGGAUCUAAGGACUGUAGCUGCCUUGUUUGCAUUUCUUACUCCAACGAUAACUCAAAGAAAAGAAAAUGAAUCACCGUGGAAAAUGAGGGGAGGGUGCAAAAGUAGUGCCGCAGAGCCUCAGAAUCCUCCCACCUGCCCUCCACCUGCAUCUCCACCAGCCCAUUCUCACCCUUCCCCACAUCGCAGGAGAGGAACCGCCCAGUUUCCGGGAAGACAGGGUCACUUGGUUUAGCUGGAGUGGUCCCACUCUUCCUAAGUACCUGGUCUUCACAGUAGCUGCUGUGGCAGGGAAGGACGCAAUCCCAGGACUAGACUCUUAUCUUCUCCUUUUGCCCAGGCCCCACCAGCUUCCACACUGAACAACACGGGGCCUGUGGAUCCAUCCUCAUCCCCUCCCUAAGCUACUGACCCACUCCCCUCCCCCUCCUGGCAUUGAUGGGCUGUCCUCAGGGAAGCCAGUGACCCUAGUCCAGGGCCUCAGACCAGGGUCAAGGGGCAGAAUGUCUACACCAGGCCAGGGAUCCCUGCAGACUGGUCUUCGGGAAGUGCACCCCCAGAUGCAAUCAGUUCACAGAGGAAAACCACAUUUUGUUUAGUCUUUUCCUAGUCUAGAAGGCCUAGUAUUUAAUAAACCCUGGAGCCAGCCCUGAGGGGGACUGGCUUUUAUGGGCUCCAGGCAGCUCUCUCAGCCUCUUCCCAGGUGGGGGGGCUUGGCCUGUUGGCAGCUGACUUGAGUUUUCUUCCCAGCCCCACCUCGCCCAAUGCCCCCACCUUUUCCAUGAGAUGAAGAGAAACUUGGCCUCCAAGGGUCACUCUUCUCCCCAGGAAUGUGUGGCCCAGCUUCUCCAGUUUAAAAGACUUUCCUCUGCUCCAGGGCUGACCCCAAACAGAUGGGAACCUCUAGAGCUUGGUUGGCCAAUGCCAUGUUCAGCCCAGUCACAGCUGAGAUCUUGUCACCUAGGUGAGUGCUUUACUGCUGGAGAAGUAGCAAUCAAGAGAACAGUUCUUUUUAACAUGGACAUGAGAGAUUUUAGGGACCAGUCCCCAGUGCUCAAAUCAUAGCAGGUCCCACCCAAGAACUUGGCUCAUCCACAAACCAAGCUCCUGCCAAGCCCUGGCUUAUGGAGAUGGACCAGACAUUCCUGGGGCAUCAUGGCAGGCGGCCACUGAUGCUGUCUCAAAUCCUGGGGUUCCAUAUUACGGAGAGAAUCAGCUGCAAAAGGCAACAAUUGUCUUUGAGUCACCCCUGCCCUUCCAAAAAUCAGGCUUUCAAGAGUUGAAGGCGUGAAGCGUAAUGCAGGGAAUUUCUGACAGUGCAGAGGGUAUCUGACAGGCUGGGAUGUUCCAGCGAUGACUGAACACGCAGAUUGAAUGGAACACUGAUUACAUUCUUGGUUAGCCGCCUAUAUAGCCCAUACUGGGUCCUCAUUACAUGUGCCCUAACAACAAACAUUAUGUUUCAUUAAAAUAUUACACACUUAGGAAAAUACUUCUAAAAAUGCAAAGAGGAGAAUAAAAACUACCGCAAGUGCUAUACUGAGACCCAGCGCUGUGGCAAGUUCCCCUGACCUGUCUGCAGGGAUCAUUACAAGCCGAUACUGGCUGCCCAGCGGGACCUGAUGAGACAUCAGAGAGCUCACGUGACCUCCAUUAUCACUGUCACCGCCGUGCGUGCUGUUCACACAAACAUCGGAGAUGUAAGUGACACUUUACAACAAUUCCUGAGCCUUCCAUCAUGUGGCUCAGAAUGUCAUGGCCCAGAUGAUGUCGGGGGGUAUUAAAACAAAUAAAUGAACCAUCGAACAAGUAAAUAAAUAAAUACACAAAGGAAAGCGGGGAGAGAGAGGGAAGGAACCGGUUAGGGCACUCACACAGUGCAGAGGAGUCUGAAAAGGAAUGCUGCCUGCUGGCGCCCUGGCUCUCUGUCUCUCUCCCUGUCUUUCUGUCUCUGUGUGUGUUUUUCCUCACUCUCUGUCUCUCUCGCCAUCUAGCUGUCUCUCCUCUCUCGGCCCUUUCUCAUCAUAAACCCCCUUACAUGUGAUCUCCUUUAAUCCUCACAACAGCCUGAUGUAGUCACUGGCUUUCCUCCUAUUUUACAGCUGAGAAAACUGGAGCUCUGAGAGAUGGACUACCUUGCUCCAAGACACACAGGUGAAUCCUAGUGGAGCUGGAGUCAGCCCCAGAUAGCUCUAUGCCCACCCUCCACCUCCCCCUCCAGCCUGUGUGUGCACGUAUGUGCGGGUGUGUUGAUGGGAAUAUACCCUAAGUCAGAUUGCAACUUGCAAUCUACAGCUCACGGACCAGAAACCUUAGCAUUUCCUGGGAGCUCUGUAGAAAUGCGGUGUCCCAGACCCCUCCCCAGACCUCCCAAGUCAGAAACUGCAUUUUCACAGGAUCCCUUGGGAACUCCUGGGCAUGUGACAGGCUAAGAAACACCUCUCUACAUCUCUCUACAGCCCUUCUCCCACUGCCAGGCAGGACUGAGUUACUGCUUUCCUGAGAGGAGGGAACUACAUCACUCCCCAAAAGGAAACUGGAGACCACGCUAGGCGAGCACAGCUUUCCUGAAUGCCAGCAUACCAGGGCUGGAGGUGCAGGUUUGGUGCUGCCUCCGUCACCCUAAGCCCUCAACAUCUCCAUCCCCUGGUCUCUUGGUAAACAGCUAAGCCAAGAUGGCCAGAGCUGGGAGGAUGAUUGGGCUGAGUCAUGUCACUGUAGCCCACAGACAAGUCUGCAACCCAUUAAAGACUUCUCUUCUCCAUUAAUUUCAGAGACAAAGAGACGUUUGAAGUUUAAUGUCAUUCUCUUGCUCAGCCUUCCUCAAUGAGGCCCCCAGAAGGAACGGGGGACUGAAAACAAGGAACAGGCAUCGGGACAGCGGAUCAUGAAACUGGUGCCCCAUGCAGUGGGUACUCUAAAAUACGAAGGAGCAGGUUUCGGGUGCAGCAGCAGCAAGGAUAGAGCUGAAACACAGAUGCCUAAGGGAAGG
rnacentral:lncRNA from 10 species